GCCUACUUAAUUCAGUGGUUAGAGUAUUGCUUUCAUUCAGCGAGAGUAAUUGGUUCAAAUCCAAUAGUGGAGUA